ensembl:lncRNA
UCAUGAUCAGCUUGAAUGAACGCAGCAUCAAAGCCAAAUAAAUUGGAGCAGACAGCCAGAUAAAAAGAGCAGCAAAGAUGAUCACACUGUCUUGUGCUCAAUUAAAUAUGGACUUCAAAGUAUUUGUUUGCAUAAAUCACGGAAAUCUGGUAAUCUUCCUCUAACAUCCUGAUAGACAUGGCUCCAUAUUGGUCUUUACUGAACAGCACCCAAUCAACAGUUCCUUCUGCACAGUGAGACACACUGAGUGCUGUGGAUAAGGGAGAAAGCAGAAUGGCAAUUUCAAGAGCCCAGAGAAAGAAUUAAGAGAGCAGCAGCCAGCCAGUCUGUUUGACACCAAGAAAUCAGUUUCCCCCUGCAAUCACAGACAGAUGGUUUUUGACUUCAUCUCAGCUGGAUAAGAGGGGAAACUGUACUCCGGCGGCAAACAAAGAGAGGCUAAUCCUAGGGCCUCCGUUGGUGGAUUUGGAACAUGGUCCGCCUUGUAUUAAUACUAAUUAUAGAUAUUGUUAUGUAUGUAAUUAUUCUGAUUAUUCUAGUAGUAGUAGGAGAGAAUCCUAG